AGGAAAUUCCUUAAGAUGUAUAGAUGUAAAAUACAAAACUGUGCACAGUCCUGCCUGUUAGAGGAAUUAAUGUUAAUAUUUAGACUUGUUUCUCAAACUUGUGGGGCUCAGAUUCAGAGCAUGGCCGGCUCUUGGGGCAUGGAAACUCUGAGAAGUCUUCCCAGGCCUCCCUGGAGGCAGAUGUGACUUCAAACAUUUCUGAAUAACAGUGGCAAACAGAUUAAGGGGUCACAGGGGGCCAGGGACAGAGGGCAAAAUGAAAGUAGAACAGGUAGAGGGUCCAGACGCCUGGUGUGGAGGUGAGUGCCCCCCACCCCUCAUCUGUGACCACUGGGGGAAGGUGUCACAGGCCCAGGGCCCUUCUCUUCAUUGAAUUGCCCCAGCUAUUGUAAAGAAAUGGAUACUGUGAGCAAAUGUGUUGAAAUCCACACUGUCUUAGUUUCUUUUCCCGUUGCUAUGAUAAAAUGCUCUGAUGAAA
rnacentral:lncRNA from 1 species